rnacentral:rRNA from 1 species
AACGCGUGGGAAUCUACCCAUCUCUACGGAAUAACUCAGGGAAACUUGUGCUAAUACCGUAUACGCCCUUCGGGGGAAAGAUUUAUCGGAGAUGGAUGAGCCCGCGUUGGAUUAGCUAGUUGGUGGGGUAAAGGCCUACCAAGGCGACGAUCCAUAGCUGGUCUGAGAGGAUGAUCAGCCACAUUGGGACUGAGACACGGCCCAAACUCCUACGGGAGGCAGCAGUGGGGAAUAUUGGACAAUGGGCGCAAGCCUGAUCCAGCCAUGCCGCGUGAGUGAAGAAGGCCUUUUGGUUGUAAAGCACUUUAAGCGAGGAGGAGGCUACUUGGAUUAAUACUCUAGGAUAGUGGACGUUACUCGCAGAAUAAGCACCGGCUAACUCUGUGCCAGCAGCCGCGGUAAUACAGAGGGUGCGAGCGUUAAUCGGAUUUACUGGGCGUAAAGCGUGCGUAGGCGGCUUAUUAAGUUGGAUGUGAAAUCCCCGAGCUUAACUUGGGAAUUGCAUUCAAGACUGGUAGGCUAGAGUAUGGGAGAGGAUGGUAGAAUUCCAGGUGUAGCGGUGAAAUGCGUAGAGAUCUGGAGG